GCCCCCGUAGCUCAGAUGGAUAGAGCACUGGUUUCCUAAACCGGGUGCCGGAGGUUCGAGUCCUCCCGGGGGCGCCA
rnacentral:tRNA from 1 species